GCGAAUGUGGCGGAAUAGGUAUACGCGCCAGAUUUAGGUUCUGGAUUCUUGUGGGUUCGAGUCCCUCCAUUCGCA
rnacentral:tRNA from 1 species